GCUCCAUAUAUAAAGUAUUUUACUUUUAUUAGAAAUAAA
rnacentral:tRNA from 1 species